AAACACAAACAGAAAAGGAUCUUAAAUAGAUUGAGAAUAGGGUUGAUUUUUGGGCAAAAUCCGUUUGAAUUUUGAAUCUUCCUCUUCCUUUCCGAGGCAACAGUAAAGUAAUAGGGAGUUGUUGUUGCUCUGAAACUCCGAAAAGGGGGGAAAACCGGGAUGAUUGGACGUGAGGAUGACAUACGUAUGGGCGGACACUGUUGCACCGGAAUUUACUGCUGGAUUUUCGGAUUUGCCGGGAUUUCUGUGUGAAGAAGACGGUAUGGGCAGUGGGGUAG
rnacentral:lncRNA from 1 species